rnacentral:rRNA from 1 species
CAGUUGUUCUGCCAAGGGCAUGGCUGGGUAGCUAUGUACGGAAUGGAUAAGCGCUGAAAGCAUCUAAGCGCGAAGCCAACUUCAAGAUAAGAUUUCCCACCGCAAGGGUAAGACCCCAGAAAGACUAGCUGGUUGAUAGGUCGAAGGUGUAAGUGCAGCAAUGUAUUUAGCUUAUCGAUACUAAUAGGUCGAGGACUUGACCAAU